AUUAGUUCAAUGCCACGAAAGCAGCAGACAGACAGACACGCUUACGAAUUCAUAAAUUAUGAAUAUGGAUUUAGUUCCAAACCUGUAUUGAAUUUGCAAGUGCCUAAAUUUGUAUGCGCAACACGCGUAAAAUAAAUCAACUGAAACCGUCGCUUUGCUUUGUGUAAGACUAAAGGCAGUAGGGUUUUUUGGAGCAGAAACGUAUCUAAGUAUUUAACUCAUGUACUUUCCUUAUGUCGGAAUGUGUGAGGGGUUUACAAGACGACGUAGGUAUUUUUCCUCGGUCCUUAUUGUAUAAAAGACUCAUCAAGUCUACAAAGGAUUUAAUUUCCACUAACACUUGUAAGAAGCGAGUGCUGCAUGAUGAAGGUUUUAUUUAUUUUCGUUUUCAUUACGCUAUGCAUUCAAAUUGUGUUCAGCAGUACUAUUCCCGUGUCAGGGACUACGACUACGCCAAAACCUUGGACUCAAAAAGUUAAAGACGGUCUGGGUAAAUUCUUUCAUGGUGCAGCAAUAAUAAGUAGCGUACAACAAGCCUUACACAAUCGUAAUGGCCCGCAUGGCGGCCACCACAAGACAUUACCAACAACAAAACCUAAACUUUAAUUUAGUUAGGAAAUUAAUAAAGAAUUAAUUUAGUC